UUCCGUAGGUGAACCUGCGGAAGGAUC
rnacentral:ncRNA from 21 species